AUGUCUGGGCUCCCUGGGCGCUCUGCGGGCGUCGUCAACCCUGACCCUCAAGCCAGAGGGUCACUACUCUGUCUGCCAUCCGCCCCGUGCAUCCCAAGCGGCGACACUCGAUUCGUGUCCCCGGGAGACCCUCAGCAGAGAAACCUGCUGCUCCUGGAGCGUCUCAGCAGAGCGUCCAAAAGCAGACUCACUACUGUUGUCCUUGCGUGUCCCGCAGAUCCUGGCCAACCUAGAGCAGGGCCUGGCGGAGGACGGGACCACGAGCAGCAUCGCGCAGGAGAACAGGCAAGGUCAGUGCCGCACGUGUCCCCGGGCCGGCCCAGGCCUGCUCCGGGCCUCAGCCUCUGUCCGUCUCGCCUCUCCCACGCGCAUCUCCUCGCUGCUUUCCUCCCAGAACGAGCAUCCUUUCUAGGAGGUUCUUACCUCAGAGUUGCCCCUUGGUCCUGGCAGCAGGAGGAGGGUCCUCCCCGGGCCUGUUCUGCCCCGGCCUCUCCACCCUCCCACCCCACAUCUCCUCUCCCGCCAGCCCUCGGAGCCUGGCGAGGCAGCUGGGUUAGGAACCGAUGCUUCCACGUAAGCGGGUGGGACACCCAGGCCUCGGGCAGGCAGGCCGCUGUCACCAGGGCUGCGGUGCUGACGCCCCUGUGUGACUGUCCACAGCCCUACAGCGGGGAGCCCCGCCCAUCCACAACCCGCCGGGGUGGCCCCGCUACACGACGGGCUCAUCUCCUGGUCCAGUCAGGCUCUGUCCCCCUGAAGCUGGGCGGCCGUCGAGAGCACAGCCCGAGGAACGCGCCAAGGUGCACAGGAAGCCGUGGCCAGGGCAGGGCCACAGACGUGGGGGCUGCAUCCGUCUGUGGCUGGGCUGCUGGCCACGUCCCUGGGCGCUCACCCCUCCUCUUUUUCAGCCUCCGUGCAGCUGUGGCGGUCCCGCCUGGGCCGCGUGACCUGCUCCAUGGCCAACUGCCUGCUGCUCAUGAAGGACUACGUGCUGGCCGUGGACGCGUACCGCGCGGUCGUCCAGUUCCACCCAGAGCAGGAGCCCCAGGUGCUGAGCUGCAUCGGCCGCAUCUUUCUGCAGAUUGGAGACAUAAAAGCAGCUGAAAAGUACUUUCAAGACGUAGAGAAAGUAACCCAGAAAUUGGAUGGACUGCAGGGCAAAACCAUGGUUUUGAUGAACAGGUGUGUAUUUCUUUUCUGUGAUCUCCAGCUUUGCUGAGCCGUAACUGCAGCACGGUGCAGGUUUAAGGUGAGAACAAUAAUGACUUGACUUCCAUACAUUGGGACAUUGGGAAGUGAUGCCCACAAAAUAGCGAACACUCAUCACCCCAUACGGAUACAAAAUUAGAGACAGAGCGCACUCUCUCCGCGUUCACGGUAACGCACAGCGGUGUGGAUGCUGUUCCCGGUGCUGUACGCUGCGCCCCGGGUGCCUGUGGACCACCUUCAUCCAAUCCUGCCCUCCUUCCCCGGUGACCACAAUUGAAUCUUUCUCUGUGAGUUAGUUUGGAGUGUCAUUGACCUGAAACACCAUUCGUUCCUGUUACACAGCAUAGUGACCUGAUGUUUCUCUCUCUUACGAACUGCAGCACGACUAGUCUAGUUACGGUCCGUCUGCCCACAAAGAU
ensembl:lncRNA